rnacentral:hammerhead_ribozyme from 1 species
AUCCAGCUGACGAGUCCAAACAGGACGAAACGCGCGUCCUGGGU